CUGUAGACAAAUAAUUUCUACUUGUAGCCUAUACAUGUUCUAUUUAUAUGUUAUUGUGUUGUCUGCUACCACCACUGGUAUAUGUGAGAUAUACAAGUAUGUUUUGAAAUUAUAACUUCAAAUUUUCAUUUUGAACAAAGUUUCUUUUUUUUAUUUAAAAAAAUGUACUUUGAUUCUCUUUAUAUUUCUUGCCUUUCAUUUUUCUUAUUAUGUUGUAAGCAUUAGGAAAAUUAGCUGAAAAGAAUUUCAUUAAAACAAAUUAAGAUCUUAAACAUUCAAUAAAUUGAGUAAUAGAAAAGGAUGAAUUUCAAUAGCUUGAAAAUUGUUCUACACUUCUUCCUGUUUAUUCAGAAAAGGGAAAAAAAAAACCCAGAAGGGUCUCAUACUUAAAUCUAAACUACAGUCAUCUCUCAGUUAUCCUUGGGUAUAAUAUUACUUUUAUGUUGUAUCCACAACAAACCUUUCAGAUUUCGUAAUUGGCACCUGCUAAUUACAAGCUUUGCUGAUAGCUCAGCACUUCUGUUCAUCGUAAUUUGCAUGCAGCCUGAAGCUCAGUCUUCCAACUUUGAAAUCACCCCCAA
rnacentral:lncRNA from 1 species